UACGGGGGGGGCAAGCGUUGUUCGGAAUUACUGGGCGUAAAGGGCCAGUAGGCGGCCAACUAAGUCGGAUGUGAAAUCCCCAGGCUCAACUUGGGAACUGCAUCCGAUACUGGAUGGCUUGAAUUCGGGAGAGGGAUGCAGAAUUCCAGGUGUAGCGGCGAAAUGCGUAGAUAUCUGGAGGAACACCGGUGGCGAAGGCGGCAUCCUGGACCGGCAUUGACGCUGAACAGCGAAAGCCAGGGGAGCAAACGGG
rnacentral:rRNA from 1 species